UCUUGUGAUGGCUGAUUGUCGAGUGCUUGUCGAAAGUUUUCAUAUUUUUCCAUGAAAAUUAACGAUGAAUUCAAAGUUUAUUCAAGUUUAUUUCUGUGCAACUUGUUUGCGAUGUGAUUUAUUCCGUAUGUGUGUUGGAUCAACUUUCAUAUAUCUUAUUUUAACUUGUAGGAAGGAACGCCAAAGGCAACUAGCCUAGACAACAUCAAUUUUAGCUACCAUCAAUUUUUUCAUAAAAUUGUCGUUCAGUUGAAUGCUUCAUGCUGUUAAAACAGGUCACUACCCCCAGUGUGGACACUUGUUGUUUUUUCUGAACAUGUUUUCUACAAAUAAUGCAUUGACAAACAAUCAUAGAGAAAGCUAUGGCAACAUAAUCAAGGCCAUGGGCAAUCUUCAGGUUUAUUGCAGCAACUUAGGGGAAGUCACAUGAAAAGAUGUAGGGCACAUGUACCAACAUGUGAUGUAUUUUUCUGGAUGUUUUACUCAAGCAGUAGUUUGAUGCCAAAGAUAGUUUGAACUCUAAAUCAAAUACAGAUAACUGUUGCUGCCUUACAGCCACAGGCAGGAAAAUUAUUCUUUUCUUCAGAAAAUUGUGGCUAAAAUGGAUUGUCCCCCAGCCACCAGGUGGCCCGAGUGUCUUCGUGAGGACGAAAUAUUUGCCAUUUGUUUCCGAGACGCCCGAGACGCUGUCCAAAUUCAUUGCGGUAUUGCGGUGUCUUUCUACAUUUUCAGCCAUGAAAUGGCAAUCUGGCAUAUAAUUUUACUUGGCCAAAUAAUGUGACGACGUGGGUCAAAACUGCUGUCCAAUGUCGGCCAUUGUUAGCUGUACCAAUACGUCUCAUCUCGUGCAGAAGCACUUCAGACUUCAGAGGUAUUGAUGUCCAGGUUUGGAGAAGGAGAUCCCUUUGCUCAACUGUUGCAGAAAUUGAGAACACGACAAAAUCCGAGCUUCAUGGCUGUUGCAUCAUCAACAUGGUUUUGUUGCAGCCAGCUGGUGAAAGAUUUGAUCAAGUCAAGUUUAGCUGCUGCAUGCAGUUUAUCUACCUGGUGUUAUCCCAUGUGCCACUGCAGGAAAACUUCUGAAAUUGGAGUUCAUGGUCAGUUUGAUGUCUGAGCUGUUUAUGGUGUUGCUGUUUGGUGUACAGUGGUUUUGCAGUCCCUUUCCAGUUGAGAGAUGCUCUGAAGCAGAUUUUCAGUUCAACAUCACACUUAAAUGUGUUUAUUGGCUGCAUUUUGUCGAUAUGUAACUUGCUACCUGUACCGGCGUUGAGUUCAAUCGUUUGAUCCAUUGGUGAAACUGAGGUUGCUGAAAUUCAAGAAUCGUCAAUAAAUUAUGUAUGUGCGGCGUAAUUAUGCUUGUGCGGACUUGCAGUUGAACAUCAUACUUAAAUGUGUCAUUUGCCUAUGUCGGUGUCCAUGCAGUCUAUGCAGUGUUGAACUGCUGUGCCAAAUAAUCAAUGUUGCCUGAUGGCUGUCGGGCUUAUUUUAUCGGCAGCAUUUUGUCGAUAUGUCGUCUCUUGCUACCUUUACCGCCGUUGAGUUGAUUUGUUUGCCGCCGUUCCUUAGACUUGAAACACCGGUGAAACUAAGAAGACGUUGCUGAAAUUCAAGAUUGAUCAAUAAAUUAUGUAGAUAAAUUACAAGUGCAUAUCUGGGCUCCCUUCUUCAGUGGCCCCGUUUCCCUAAAUAACCACUAACCAACGCCCGCCGGUGGUCACUCACUCGCUGCGACAACCAGGAGGAAGGGAGAUGUUUGGUCGAACGGGGACUUGCAAGGCGCAUGAUUCGAUGAAAUCUGUUGGAGGGUCAUGAGUCUAAGCCGGAAGCCUACUAUGACACACUGCUCUCAUAAUAACUGCUCCUCAGCUCUCUUCGCUCUUUUUCCGGUUUCUCUUAACCAUGGCCGGGUAAUCUCCCUGGUCGAGUCAGUCGGGCAGUGUCUUCCCCUGCUUAACUGGCAGCAGUUUGGACCGGACGGUCCAUUUAUU
rnacentral:lncRNA from 1 species